rnacentral:rRNA from 1 species
AGACCACUGGGUUGAUAGGCCGGAUGUGGAAGCGAGGACUAACGACUCGUGAAGCUGACCGGUACUAAUAGGCCAACAACUUACACCACA